rnacentral:lncRNA from 1 species
AGUUAACGUGAACGUGACACGUAGGAAACUGACAUCUCAAAUAAUAUUAUAGAGAUUAUCGCCUAUAUACUUGCUUACUUCCUAUUUUAGCGUAAGAAAAAUCUAAAUAAAUAUUCUAUAUAAUUAAUGUAUUUAAUAUAUGCUUUUGAAAGCUGGCUGAAAUAUGUCCUGAAACUUUAUGCUAUAGUAUAUUAGCUUUCAAUUAUGCAGAUUGAAUUUUGUUUUAGUACCAAGGGUUGAAAACUCACGAGAAUACAUUAAAUUCCAUUUACUCUUCUUUUUAUUUAUAUUUUUCUUAAUUAUUUUUAUUUAAUAUCAUUUAAAAUUUUGGUUUUAUACCUUUUGAAAAAUUAUUUAAAGAAAUGGCCCUAGAUAGACCCAAACCAAGCUUUCCUUCCAAAUCUAGACUCCAAAGCCCAAAUUGACAAAAAUGUUUCAUUAAGUGAUAACAAAUUACCUUGUUACCCCUAAUCUAAAUUUAACCUAAAAUAUUUAAUAAUAAUUCAAAAUCAUUUUGUUUCAGAUCUUCAACGAUCCCCUCUCCGACGAUUCUCCGACGAAAAGCUGUGCCGUCGAAGUCUUCAACGAUCCCCUCUCCGACAAAGCUGUGCCGUUUCUCUCUCUGUCGUCUCGCCGUCCGUCGUUUAGCCUUGCAUCGUCCUCGAUCGUAUUCGUCUGAGCCCUUGCGAUCCGUCGUCCUCGAUCCGUUUCUCUAUCUCGUUAUCAAGGUAACAUUGGAUUCUAGUUGUUUUGAAUUUUAAGAUUCGAAUUCCUUCAUCUUCACCUUCU